AGAUUGAACGCUGGCGGCAUGCCUUACACAUGCAAGUCGAACGGCAGCACGGGAGCAAUCCUGGUGGCGAGUGGCGAACGGGUGAGUAAUAUAUCGGAACGUGCCCAGUAAUGGGGGAUAGCCCGGCGAAAGCCGGAUUAAUACCGCAUACGACCUACGGGUGAAAGCGGGGGAUCGCAAGACCUCGCGUUAUUGGAGCGGCCGAUAUCAGAUUAGCUUGUUGGUGGGUAAAAGCCCACCAAGGCGACGAUCUGUAGCUGGUCUGAGAGGACGACCAGCCACACUGGGACUGAGACACGGCCCACGACUCCGUACGGG
rnacentral:rRNA from 1 species